GACGAACGCUGGCGGCGUGCUUAACACAUGCAAGUCGAACGGAAAGGCCCUGCCUUUGUGGGGUGCUCGAGUGGCGAACGGGUGAGUAACACGUGAGUAACCUGCCCUUGACUUUGGGAUAACUUCAGGAAACUGGGGCUAAUACCGGAUAGGAGCUCCUGCUGCAUGGUGGGGGUUGGAAAGUUUCGGCGGUUGGGGAUGGACUCGCGGCUUAUCAGCUUGUUGGUGGGGUAGUUGCCUACCAAGGCUUUGACGGGUAGCCGGCCUGAGAGGGUGACCGGCCAAAUUGGGACUGAGAUACGGCCCAGACUCCUACGGGAGGCAGCAGUGGGGAAUAUUGCACAAUGGGCGGAAGCCUGAUGCAGCAACGCCGCGUGCGGGAUGACGGCCUUCGGGUUGUAAACCGCUUUCGCCUGUGACGAAGCGUGAGUGACGGUAAUGGGUAAAGAGGCACCGGCUAACUACGUG
rnacentral:rRNA from 1 species